AUACGGAAGGGACUAGCGUUGUUCGGAAUUACUGGGCGUAAAGAGUUCGUAGGCGGACUGAUAAGUAAGAGGUGAAAUCCCAGGGCUCAACCCUGGAACUGCCCUUUAAACUGUCAGUCUAGAGACCGGAAGAGGUUAGGGGAAUACCUAGUGUAGAGGUGAAAUUCGUAGAUAUUAGGUGGAACACCAGUGGCGAAGGCGCCUAACUGGUCCGGUACUGACGCUGAGGAACGAAAGCGUGGGGAGCAAACAGGAUUAGAAACCCGAGUAGUCC
rnacentral:rRNA from 1 species